rnacentral:rRNA from 1 species
GACGAACGCUGGCGGCGUGCCUAAUACAUGCAAGUCGAACGCAGUGGGGCCGGGUGAGUAACACGUGGGUAACCUCCCAUCAGAGGUGAUAACACUUGGAAACAGGUGCUAAACCGAUACUGAUGGAUGAACCCGCGGUGCAUUAGCUAGUUGGUGAGGUAACAGCUCACCAAGACCACGCUGCAUAGCCGACCUGAGAGGGGGAUCGGCCACACUGGGACGGAGAACCGGCCCAUACUCCUACGGGAGGCAGCAGGAGGGAAUCUUCGGCAAUGGACGAAAGUCUGACCGAGCAACGACGCGUGAGGGAAGAAGGUUUUCGGAUCGUAAAACUCUGUUGUUAGAGAAGCGGUAUCUAACCAGAAAGCCACGGAUAACUACGUGCCAGCAGCCGCGGUAAUUC